GCGGAGGAAAAGAAACUAACAAGGAUUCCCCUAGUAGCGGCGAGCGAAGCGGGAAAAGCUCAAAUUUGUAAUCUGGCGUCUUCGACGUCCGAGUUGUAAUCUCGAGAAGUGUUUUCCGUGAUAGACCGCAUACAAGUCUCUUGGAACAGAGCGUCAUAGUGGUGAGAACCCAGUACACGAUGCGGAUGCCUAUUACUUUGUGAUACACUUUCGAAGAGUCGAGUUGUUUGGGAAUGCAGCUCAAAUUGGGUGGUAAAUUCCAUCUAAAGCUAAAUAUUGGCGAGAGACCGAUAGCGAACAAGUACCGUGAGGGAAAGAUGAAAAGCACUUUGGAAAGAGAGUUAACAGUACGUGAAAUUGUUGGAAGGGAAACACAUGCAGUGAUACUUGCUAUUCGGGGCAACUCGAUUGGCAGGCCCGCAUCAGUUUUUCGGGGCGGAAAAGCAUAGAGAGAAGGUAGCAGUUUCGGCUGUGUUAUAGCUCUUUAUUGGAUUCGCCCUGGGGGACUGAGGAACGCAGCGUGCUUUUUGCAUGAGCUUCGGCUUAUCCACG
rnacentral:rRNA from 1 species